UGGGUUGUGCGCUGAGGAGCAUCUGUGUCACAUGUCCAGCGCGGCGUCCCUCUUAACGCCAUUCUUCUCACGCCGCCUGGAAAGUGGUUCCAGCUCCACUCGGCAGAGGACUGGAGGAGAGGAACCCCUAAACUCUGAGAGGGCAGAAGACCCACUGUUGUGUUGUUGUGGAAGCGCAGUGUGAAGUUCCUCGGGUUCAGAAUGACCCCCAGGUCGAUUCCGGAGGUGCUGAAGCAGUUUGGAAAGAAGCUUCUGCGGGUGAAGGUGGUGAACUCCAGCAGCGACGAGACCCGCCUGUCUCGGUGCAUCAACACCCUGGACCUGGUGGCCCUGGGCGUCGGCAGCACGCUGGGCGCCGGCGUCUACGUGCUGGCCGGCGCCGUGGCCCGGGACGGCGCCGGACCCGCCAUCGUGCUGUCCUUCUUAAUGGCGUCGCUGGCCGCCGUCCUGGCCGGGUUGUGCUACGCAGAGUUCGGAGCUCGCGUCCCCAAAACGGGCUCGGCUUACCUGUACAGCUACGUGACGGUGGGGGAGGUGUGGGCCUUCAUCACCGGCUGGAACCUCAUCCUCUCCUACAUCAUCGGAACGUCGAGUGUGGCCCGGGCGUGGAGCGCCACCUUCGACGAGAUCUUUGGGAAACACAUCCAGGACUUCUGCAGGCGACACAUGGCAAUGAGCGCCCCGGGAAUCCUGGCGGAGUACCCGGACAUAUUCGCCGUCUUCAUCAUCCUCUUUCUGACAGGCGUCCUGGCAGUGGGAGUGAAGGAGUCGGUGAAGCUGAAUAAAAUCCUCACCUGCGUCAACAUGCUGGUGCUCUUGUUUGUCAUCAUCUCCGGCUUCGUCAAAGGAAGCCUCGAAAACUGGAACGUGGAUCCCGAAGAAGUCCUCAACGGCACGAGGAACUCCAGCUUCAACCGCCAGCAGAUUCUCGGUGGCGCGGGAAACUCCAGCUCCAACACCUCUGACUUCGUACCUGAAGCAGUGGUUCUGGGUGAAGGUGGCUUCAUGCCUUUCGGCUGGGCUGGAGUCCUCUCCGGCGCCGCCACCUGUUUCUAUGCCUUUAUCGGGUUCGACUGCAUUGCUACCACAGGAGAGGAGGUGAAGAAUCCCCAGAGAGCGAUUCCCAUCGGGAUUGUGGCCUCGCUCCUCAUCUGCUUCGUGGCGUACUUCGGCGUGUCCACGGCCCUCACCAUGAUGAUGCCUUACUACCUGCUGGACGUCAACAGCCCUCUGCCCGUGGCCUUUAAAUACGUGGGCUGGAUGCCCGCCACUUACGCCGUGGCCCUCGGCUCAAUAUGCGCCCUGUCGACCAGUCUCCUUGGCUCCAUGUUUCCACUCCCUCGCAUUAUCUUUGCUAUGGCGUGCGAUGGUCUGCUCUUCUCCUGUCUGGCUCGUGUCAGCGAGAGGAAGAUGCCCAUCAUCGCCACUUUGGUGGCAGGGUUCAUGUCUGCUGUGAUGGCCUUCCUGUUUGAUCUGAAGGACCUGGUGGACCUCAUGUCCAUCGGCACCCUGCUGGCUUAUUCCCUGGUGGCUGCGUGUGUGCUGGUCCUCAGGUACCAGCCCGAACGGCCCAUCGGCACCUACGAGAUGGCCAACACCCAGGAGGAUCCGGACAUGCCCGAGCCUGAUAACGAGGGAAACUUCGACAUCCUGCCGCAGUCCGGAUAUCGCUUCACCGUCAGAAACCUCCUGUUUCCGCCCAACACCGAGCCGUCGCACCGCUCUGGUUUUGCCGUGAAGAUCUGCACCGCCGUCCUCGGUGUGUUGGUGUGUAUUUUUGGGAUCGUGGCCGUCCUCGGGGGGCUGGCGCUCUGGUCCGUGGCUCUGCUCUGUAUCAUCGUAGCGAUCAGUCUGUUGACCACCUUUGUCGUGUGCAGGCAACCGCAGAGCAAAACCAAGCUGUCCUUUAAAGUGCCCCUGCUGCCCUUCGUCCCGGUCGUCAGCAUGUUUGUGAACGUUUACCUGAUGAUGCAGCUGGAUCGAGGGACCUGGGUCCGCUUCUUCAUCUGGAUGUGUUUAGGUUUCGCCAUCUACUUUGGCUACGGUUUCCGAAACAGCACAGAAGCGACUUCCAGCAGGUCUGAAGCCUGCACCAUCGAAGGAGAGCCCAUGGAGAGAGAGAAGGACGUUUACCUGCUCAAAAAACUCAACAUCAUCCCAGUAGAUGAAUAUGAAGACUCCUGAAGAGUUUUUUUUCAUAAUUUUUGGUUUUAGCUUCUGUAUAAAUCAUCAAUGGGCCCUAAGUUACAAACAGAUGUGAAAACAUCCCAUCUGUACACAAUCAGCUGUUUCCCCAAAUCAAUUCAAAGAGAUGUAUUUUUUUAAAAUUCAUAUUUAGGUAAAGAAUUUUAGAUUUGCUCUAUGAUACAGUCAACUCAGUAGACUCAGGACGGUCUGAAAACGAACAGUUGUUGUUUCUCACCUCUGGUCCUUUUCUCUGAGCUUGUGCUGUUGACAGAAAACAGUGUGACUUGCAGGAAGUACCAACAGAGAUGAAUUUUAAUUGUCUUUCAGUGUCACAAAGCUGAAGGUUUACUACAAAGAAAAAAGUUACACAGAUGUUACUCAGCUUUUUGUUACUGGGAGACAACAUUUUGCUCUGAUUGUUUCAUAAAUGAACACAUUAUGGUGCUCUAGUAACCUGUUAGUGUCGUGUGUGUGUGUGUGUGUGUGUGUGUGUGUGUGUGUGUGUGUGUGUGUGUAAGAGAGAGAACUGAUGGAUUUUAUCUUUCAACUCCCAUCAAAAGUAUUGAUAGUCACUUGUUGCUGCAGAUCAAAAACAUGAGUGUUAUCCGUCACACUUUCAGAGUCGGAUGUCCAUCUGAUUUAUCCUGCAGUGAUGUAGACAGUAUAUUCACUAAGUGCCCAUUUCUUAUAAUAAGUAUUGCAGGUAGCUCAAGCGAGAUUAAUGACAUUAAUGAGCAGAUUGUUGCUGAUAUUAAAUAAGAAGAAAAUUCACUUUUUAAACAUGUAGCUUUUUUUCUGAACUUCUAAAUAUCUUGUAAAUAACCAAAGAAGACUGUGUUGCAUUUGGUUUCUUGUUAGUUUCUUUUGUAAAUACCACUUUAGACACAUGGAUAGGUCAGAUGAAACUUGUAAACUUUCUGCUACAAAAUUCAUUUGCUCCUGUUUAUUACAGUUUUUGUAAAUUAUUAAGUUGCUGUAACUUGUACAGCUUUAAUAUGAGCUAUAAUGAUGUUGGCCUUCGCUGUCACAAAGUUACAUGUGGAGUAGACUAUUCGCUUUCGUCGUGCAUGAUAAGCUUGUAUUAAAAAUGUAGUUUUUAUGCAGCUCCAGUACCAGACACAAGCGAAUAGCGGACUGUUAUUAAGAGAAACAAAAACCAAACUGAUCGUUUCUUUUUUUCAAAAAUCACCGCCUCAGUUUCAUUGUUGAAAUGUUAGAAAUGGUGAGUUUUAUCCAAAACAUUUCCUGAUCAAUAAGUCGAACGUAGUUGAAAACUUGUUAAUUAAUCAGAGCUCAUAGUUCAGGAGAUAAGCGUCCUUGUAUUAGUUUUAUAAACUAAUUCUGGAACAUUUGCGCCAUGCAAUAUGAGGAAUUUAAAUUGAUUUUUUCACCAGUUGAUGGCAAUAGUUUGUAGCAUCAUGACUGGAUGUUGGGUUUGUA